GAACGCAUGCUGUGUGAUGUGAUGAGCUGAGGCUGGACGGUUUUGUUUGUGUUGCAUUCUGCUCUUUUUCCGUGGAACUAAAUAGCGAAAAAGUUCUCUCUCGUAAAACAGAGGUACCGGUUUUACAAUUAUGGUGAUGAAAAUGAUGCACACAGGAGCAACAUCCCCAGAUUUCACGGACCGAUGAGCAGUAUUUUUUUUUGUUCAGUAAUUGGGGCGUGGCAAAGUUCUACACAAAUUUUGCGAAGUUGCCAAAGUGAAGUGAUAAUGGUAUACACAAUGUCCACCACUGCAUGAGCGUACAUAAAGUUGCCGAAAAUUUGAACAGUGUCAUAAGUUACAUUGUAACAAAGCAAUGCCCGAUUAAACGAUGGAUACAACUGUGACAGCAUGAUUAAAUACUGUUUCAACAUAAUCGCGUUUCGGAUUCGAGAAUUACAGCAUCUGACUGGCGGGAUCGAUGUGAAGUGCUGACUGUAAGUGAAGUGCUGCAUUUGGGGUUAUUCCAGACUACAUAGAAUUUGCGGAAUCUUUGAAUAUCAAUCAAACUCAUUUAGAAUGAUUAUUACUUAUGUGUCCAAUAUUUCACCAAAUCAUAUACUCCCAAUUUUAUGCUAAAAACUAUCAAAUAUGCUUCAUGAAUUUACGUAUAAAUUCUGAGAAGCAGAUUCGCAGCGAGUCGUUCAAAUUUCAAAAUUUUCGCCGAUCCGAUAAUGUUCGCGAUAAUUCUAGACCGUGUCCGAUCGUGAAAUCAGCCGCCUAACGGCGCUGCAGGAGAAAGUAAAGUCUCAUUUAUAAAAAAGGGCGAUUAGAGAAUUGGAAAAUGUCUGAUCAUAGUAUGUCGGAGCCAUCACCGAAUUUGUUCAACUGCUCGUCGUUCAUCCAAGCGACGGGUCCAUUCAUAAAGAAUGUGAGUUCGAUUUGGUCGCUGAACGAGUCGCAGCUUUUCGAUCUGAUAAGUCAAGCGCUGAGCCCAGACGACACAUUCCUGACCGAGCCGCGGAAAAAUGUGAUUCGCGAGUCUCUGACGGAUUGUCUCUUCUCGAAACGGUCCUACGAACUGGCUUGGUGGCAGCAAGUGACUUGGACCGUCCUCUUCACGGGAAUGCUCUUCGUUGCCGUCACUGGAAAUGCUACCGUUGCUUGGAUUGUCUUAGUUUGUCCCAGGGCCGGACUUACCUACUUGUCGCCCAUGGGCCGCCUGUAUUUUGCCGCCUCUUCUCAUUCGUUUUGAAACAUCGAUAAAAACCAUCGAGUGAAAGUGCCGGAGAAGGAGGGGUGCAGAACACGCGUUUACUCGUGUUGGGUACACUUUUUAUGAAAGCCCUGUCAACACUUUUUGGCACUUUCUGACACUUUUUGGCAAAAUUUCACGGAACUUUGCGCGAAAAUUACGUUACGUAACUUAUCUCUGUGUGUGGACGAGGGCUUUCAUUUAUGAAAGAAAGAAAAAAUUAUGAAAGAAUAAAUAUGAAUGUGGUUGAUGAUUUUAAUUUCCGCCACCGCGCCAACCGCACUGUGUUUGGCGCAAUGCGUGAGGUAUCCACGUUCCACGCCGACCGCUGCUGACCGUACUGUUUUCGACGCAAUGCGUGAAGUAUUCAUGCAGUCUUGUAGGCACUAUGAGUUUCACGCCAACCGCUGCUGACUGUAUUACGUUUGACGCAACGCGUGAGGUAUUCAUGGAGUCUUGUAGGCGCCGAGGGCUUCUCCUUUCCAUCCCAAGUCCUCGUCAUCAUUGCUCUCUGCGCCGCGCCGCUCCAGGCCAAAUUACGUGUUUGGUUUCCCUCUCAACUAGACUAAUGAAAGGCGCUGUCUCUUAUAUCACCGAAAGACAAACAAAUUAGAAAUACUUUACUUCAACUCUCAGGAAAUGAGAGAUUUUUUCGCCUUUUCUAGUUUGUAAGUUUUUUUUCUGAAUCAGCGAUUUUUUUCUUGAUACCUACAUUUGAAAAAAUUACAACAUUUGCCGCCCCCUAAAAAUGCCGCCAUGGGCCGCGGCCCAUGUGGCCACCCCUAAAUCCAGCCCUGGUUUGUCCUAACCAUAGACUUCGAAUGUUUACUAUACAACGGUGUGGCUUUCAAAAUUCAGAUCCAACAGUUCACUUUCCUUUCCAAGAGAUAAAGAAUGGACGGAAACAAUCCGAAUUUCCUCAUGUUUCUAAAGAGGAAAGGAGACGCGACGCGAAGCUAAAGUUGGAACACGGCAAAUAUUAAGAGAGCCCGCGGAGAGACAGUAAUUAGUUAAUUUGGUGCGACGCCACGCAGUUUAAAAUUGUCCCGCCGGUUACGCAGUCCAACUCUCAGAAGCUCAUAAUCAGUUUUCUCGCCCACGUUUUGCAACCCUACAAAUCAUUUACUCGAGCUUUUAUCACAACAAAACUUU
rnacentral:lncRNA from 1 species